AAAGGGACGCUACAUUAUUGUAUGGCUCUUUUGAAAUUACAUUUCAAAAUAUGUGGCGUUUAUGGCUCUCUUGGCCAAAAAGGUUCCCGACCCCUGGUCUAUGCCCUUGAAUAAAACUGCACUCUGUAAAUCAUUGUUUUAAAAUCCCACGAGUAAAUACAUUUACAAAUAGUGAUCUGUAGCUCAACUGAAGAAUGUCUAGUUCAGUGGGCUGCAAUCUUAAAUACUUUUUAAAAAAUGUUUUUCUAGCCACUAAACGAUUAUAUUAUUAAAUUUAGCUUUGAAAUAUUUAUAAGAAUUGGAUUUUACAGUAUUAUAUUUUUCUCUGUACAACAAUUUUGAAAGAACAUACAAUUUCCCUUCAAAAUAAAAUACAGCAAUUUUUUUUUGUUUAAAAAACAGAAAAAAAAGAACAAAACUUGAUUAUCUACAAAAAACUGACCAGAGUUCCAAAUCACUAUUCUGUCUACUUGUCAGUAUUUUUCCUUAAAGCUGUGGAGCAACAAUGGAGAGCUAAAGGAGCUGCAUGUGGCUCCAGAGCCUGAGGUUGCAGAACCGCGGUCUAGCCUGAAACAAGGAGAUCAAGACCUUGAGUCCACAGCAGGGACACCCAAAGAUCCUAAAAAGCUUCUACUUGACACUUAUUGAGGGGUCAUAUUCAGAAAUGGUUUCCGGCUGUGACUGCAGCCUUCUCUUCCCAGGUGUAGGUGAAAUGUCAAUCCAUUUUCCGAACCCACUCAAUCCCUUUUGAGGUCAUAAGGUUGCUGGAGCCAGUAGAAAAAUCAAAACUGCAUUUGUUUCAAUCCUGUCAGAACUGUCUGACACUGAGAUGGACUGGUGUACCCCACCAGGACAAAGGUGGGGUACACCAGGAACAGGACGUCCAUCUGUUGUAGGUUCAAACACUCACAUUCACACGUAGGGGCAAUUCAGAGACACCAAUUAACCUAUGAAGCAUGUUUUUGAACUGUGGGAGGAAGUGCUUGAAGAAAACCCAGAUGUACGAAGACAACAUGCAAACUCCACACAAGGACUCAGCCGGGAUUUGAACCAGGACCCUCUCGCUGUGAGUUAAGCAGACAGAAGAGGCCUUCACGAUGCACGAAAUGACACAUCUGAUGGUUCUUCUGGUUCUGGGUUCUGCCAGGACCCAACAAGUUCCAAUUGUCUUGCAGGAGAACUUUGAGUUAGAGAAGUUUAUGGGGAGGUGGUACGAAGUGGCGGUGGCGUCCACAUGCCCGCACUACAUGCAACGGAAAAGGGAAAACGCUGUGAUGGUUGCUUUGAAACUGGAGCAUGUCCCUUUUGGGAGCAACUUUACCAUGACAACCGCUACCUCAAGGAACAGCUCCUGCGUAGAGACCUCCACCAACUAUUUCCUCACUAACACUACAGGACGAUUCUUCCAUCACGUCUCUCGAUUCAGAGCAGACAUCGAUUCAUUUGUGCUUCACACUGAUGAAGAUGAUGGUUACACAGUGAUGCUGCAGCUGAGCACAGAGAAGCCAUCAGGAAACAAAACCAGUAUAAUCAAACUCUACAAUAUUUUGGGGGGAUUUCUAAAAAUGUAAUAGUUUAAAAGUUCAAUGGAAAAAAAGGCAUAUCUCAUUUAGGUCGAACUGCAGAUGUGAGUCCUACUGUUCUGCACCAGUUUCAAGCUCUGACCAGACUUUAUGGAAUGAGCGAUGACGCCAUUAUUAUCAACCAGAACAAAGGUGUGUGUUUUCCAGGUGAACAGAUGACCCGGCUGCAGGUUCCUGUUUCCCUUUGAGACUGAACACCUGAAAAUGCUUUUUUUCUUUUUGUUUAUCAAUCUGUUCUUUGUCAUAAAGAGCUGAUUUAUUAAAAAAAAAGAAUUGGAAACACCUGAAA